rnacentral:misc_RNA from 1 species
AACAUCGCGCACCUGCGGGAACCUGCGGAAGGAUCAUUAAUGAUUGGUGGCUGUUGCUGACUAGUGUUUCUAGUAUGUGCACGCCACACCUUCAAUCCCACUUACACCUGUGCACCUUCUGUAAUAGAUCUAUGUGGAUACGGAGAUAUGAAAGUUUGCGCUCUCGUACUCUGUCGAAGCAGUCUACUACGUUUUUUUACACACACACAAUAGUCAUUGAAUGUAUUUUUUAUUCUUAUG